GAACUCUGACCUUCAAGGCAUCACUGAUACUUAGUAAAGCUGAAUAUGUCAGACUGAGGACAUGAUAGAAUUUGAGAAAACGGACAGAUCUAAGAGAAAAUGCCUGCUGUGUGUUCAAGGGUAUUACCAAGGAGAUGAUGGCAGGAAAGCGUGAAAAACAAAGGGCGAGAGGAAGAAAUGAGAGAUUUUGAGGGAAUGAGGAAGAUGGAAAAUAAGAUACUCUGUUCUUGAUCCUUAACACGUAGCAUACCAGUUAGCAUUUUAUCUUUGUCUGAUAUGAACAUUGGAACCUCUCGUUUUUGUAAUUGAUUAAGUCUUCAAGAAUGAUAAUACCAUUA